rnacentral:rRNA from 1 species
GGCGAGUGAAGCGGGAUGAGCUCCAAAUUUAAAAUCUGGCGGCCUCAGGUCGUCCGAGUUGUAGUCUAGAGAAUCGUUUUCCGCGUUGGCCUGUGUACAAGUCCCUUGGAACAGGGCGUCAUAGAGGGUGAGAAUCCCGUCCUUGACACAGACUACCAAUGCUUUGUGAUGCGAUCUCGAAGAGUCGAGUUGUUUGGGAAUGCAGCUCAAAAUGGGUGGUAAAUUCCAUCUAAAGCUAAAUAUUGGCGAGAGACCGAUAGCGAACAAGUACCGUGAGGGAAAGAUGAAAAGCACUUUGGAAAGAGAGUUAAACAGUACGUGAAAUUGUUAAAAGGGAAACGAUUGAAGUCAGUCAUGCUUUCCGAGACUCAGCCGAUUCUGUCGGUGUACUUCUCGGUUGGCAGGCCAGCAUCAGUUUCGAUCUGUGGAAAAGGUUGGAGGGAACGUGGCAUCCUCGGAUGUGUUAUAGCCCUUCUUCGAAUACAUAGAGCGGGACUGAGGAACGCAGCGCGCCUUUUAUUAGGUUGGCCCUCGGGUACAUACGCGCUUAGGAUGCUGGCAUAAUGGCUUUAAACGACCCGU